UACGUAGGCAGCAAGCGUUGUUCGGAAUUACUGGGCGUCAAGAGUGUGUAGGUGGUUUCGUAAGUUUGGUGUGAAAUCUCCCGGCUUAACUGGGAGGGUGCGCCGAAGACUGCGAUGCUGGAGUAUGGGAGAGGAAAGCGGAAUUCCUGGUGUAGCGGUGAAAUGCGCAGAUAUCAGGAGGAACACCGAUGGCGAAGGCAGGUCUCUGGGCCAUAACUGACGCUGAGAAGCGAAAGCAUGGGGAGCGAACAGG
rnacentral:rRNA from 1 species